rnacentral:rRNA from 1 species
GACGAACGCUGGCGGCACGCUUAACACAUGCAAGUCGAACGGAGAAUAUCGAAGCUUGCUUUGAUAUUCUUAGUGGCGGACGGGUGAGUAACACGUGAGUAACCUGCCUCUGAGAGUGGGAUAGCUUCUGGAAAACGGAUGGUAAUACCGCAUGAAAUCAUAGUAUCGCAUGGUACAAUGAUCAAAGAUUUAUCGCUCAGAGAUGGACUCGCGUCUGAUUAGCUAGUUGGUAAGGUAACGGCUUACCAAGGCGACGAUCAGUAGCCGGACUGAGAGGUUGAUCGGCCACAUUGGGACUGAGACACGGCCCAGACUCCUACGGGAGGCAGCAGUGGGGAAUAUUGCACAAUGGGGGAAACCCUGAUGCAGCGAUGCCGCGUGGAGGAAGAAGGUUUCGGAUUGUAAACUCCUGUUGAAGAGGACGAUAAUGACGGUACUCUUUUAGAAAGCUCCGGCUAACUACGUGCCAGCAGCCGACGG